rnacentral:tRNA from 1 species
GAGGGUAUAGCUCAGUGGUAGAGUGCGUGCUUAGCGUGCACAAAGUCCUGGGUUCAAUCCUCGGUAGCUCCA